rnacentral:lncRNA from 1 species
UAAAUGGUCCUACUUUGCAAAUAAUUUAUGUUCUUCUCUAUUAUAGGUGAAGACUGGUUGGAUAACACUACUGCAAGCUGGAUCUCUCAUCCUACCUGUUAAGCAUGCCGAAACCGAGUUAAUUCUGGAAGCGGAUCCAGUGUGUUGUGCAAAUGCAGCCAUGCUUAAGGAAGAAAGACUGGUGUCCCUUCUCCCACAGACUCCACCACAUAGACAAGACCUCCAUCCAUACUACUGCUUCUCUGAAGUGCUGAUGGCCUCAUUAUACCCCUUCCCCAAAUUCUGCUCCAAAGGAAGUGGCUGGAAUUGCGUCCCAUUGAUGUCAAGCGGCAUGAAGCAACCAUCCCUUCUUUUACAAGAGCCUUUUACAAAGGGUCUUCCCACCCUUUGGUGGAUCACAGCUGGAGCUGAUGCAUCCAGACACAGAACAAACCUCGAAGGCUUUCAGUAAGAGAAUGAACCAACCACAGAAGGGAUCCUUGUUGCUAAAAUAUGGAGCUUCUUCCACGAUACUAUCAGAAAUACUGACAUGAGCUAUAAUUUGGUUGACAAGACUGUUGUGUCAACAAUGACACUUGAUAGUGGAAUGUUUGUACGCACAAUGGCAUGGAGUUUGGAAGAGAAAUUGUUCAAGAAUCUGAAGAAGAUGCUCCUUCUUCAAGUCAACCUUGACACCGACUGAGCUGGAUAGCCAACCACCUCCUUGCUAACAAGAUGGAAGAGUUUGCCUUGGUUUUCUUCUGGAUGUGAUCUUGACCUCCCAGCCUAGUCUCCUUUUAUUUAU